rnacentral:lncRNA from 1 species
GCCUCGGCUGUAGAAGCAGCUGCGGGGUCCGCCCUGCCCCCUCCCCGGCGCGGAGAGCGGCUGCCAGGAACUGGAAUAUUAAUAGGUACAAACUUCCUGGAAAGAUUUUCGUCUUCGCGGUAGAUGACCCCGCCUUGUCGGCCCAAAGAAAGAAAAGGCCUCCCGGGGCAGGCGACAGAGAGCCUGGGACCCGCGGGACCCCCGGAGCCACUGCUCUCUAAAGUUGGGGUUCAUUGGUCGGGGACCCACUCGGUGGCCCGUCGCAGACACCGCGGUGCAGGGCUGGCCUGGCCUUUGUAAGCCAGGUCCCCAAGGAAGGAGUCCCGACGCCAGGGCGCGCAUCUGCGGGAGCGCGGGAGCGCGGGAGCGCGCUCGCCCGGGGCCACCCUGCCCUCCUGCGGGGGAGGGGUGGAGAGGCUCCUCUUCCCGGGUAGGAUAGACUUCUCUGGUCUCUGGUCACUUAGCAGCAUCCAAACAACCCUGCUGCUGCUGCCCAUAGGUGAGCGCCAUCCCUCUCUCCAGGACUCCCUGGCCCAGCAGCAGUUGUGAUCAAAGCCACCCGCUCCUUCCCAGCUGCCAGGAAAGGACAGAUCCAUCAGAAACACCCGAACACAACAGCCGCCCACUCCCCUGACAGCGGCUGCGGUUCCCAGUCUCAGGUUUCACCGCUUCCGACAGGGGCACCUGUCCUGGAUAGUAGAGUCUUCUGCCCACCUGAAAGUCAGAAGCAAGAGGAUCGCCCAAAGUUAAGGAGAGCUAGUUUCCAGAGAUGCCUAGAACCAAGGUGGAGAGGUUACAUACCUACUGUGUCCCCUGAAGCUACCAUUGCCUCCCACCUGUCAUGCACCAUGUCCCCAGAGGAACCAGGAGUCAGGCUGAGCCGGUCCCAAACUGGGAGCUCCACCCAGUCUGCAUGGAAGAAUGCCUGUUGCUCCUGGACACAGACGGUGUGUGUGGCCGAAAGCAUGGGCUGCUCAGGUGCUGCUGGCCCUCUGAGUGGCACCACAUGUGGCUAUUUUGCUUCAUCUCCACUGUGCCUUUGUUUGCCGUCCCCCACUCCUGCUCUGUUCCCCUUUGAUGUCUCCUAAGGAGUCCAGUGAGCAGAGAUGGGUGGAACAUUCCAAGAGGAGUCAGGGGAAUCCGGCAGAGGCUCCUGGGCAGCAGGGGCCUUGGUGAGACAGGAGAAGGACCAAGACGGUCCAGGGCUGAGGAGUGAGGGUGGCCCUGAAGCAGUGGGGCAGUGUCCCACAUGAACUAAGAAGUUGCCCUGUCCCCAUACCCUCCAGCAUCCAGUUUCCAUGUCCAGGCAAGAACUGGCCUGUCUCUAAUGUGGCACUUAACCAGGCUGCACAGGCUUUGUUUACCCAGUGAGUACACACAGGCAUUUCCAUCUUCCACAGCUCCGACCUCUGACUAAUGGACAAGCGUUGGCCCAUCAGCUACAACUGGCAGUGACCCAUGUCACUUCUGGGUCAAAAGCAUCAGUGCUCUGUGCUCUGUCUUCCCAUGCCAGAGUGACCUAAUUGUCCACACGGUGGCUCUUCUGGGAGUCUAGAUCCCGGAGACACUGGGUAGGGCAGGGCCUUGCUCUCCGGGCUCCAUCCCCCUCAGUGGCCAUUCAGCGUGGUUGAAUGAUGACCAAAACUGAAUGUAGUCACUGUGAUCUGGACUUGCAGACCAGGUGCAGGGGCCUCCCCUCUCAGCAGUGUCCCCAUCCCCAUCACUCAGGGAGUAAACAGAGCAGGGCAGAUACAACAACAGAAGAUUGAAUUGGCUGGGACUUCCCAGAGUACAAGGCUCCACACCUCUGGGCCUGCUGCCCGGUGAGCUGAGCCGCCUGGGUGCGUGUCCUGCCAUGACUCAAGAGGAGACAGCACAGCCUGUGACAAGCAGGAGUAGACAGGAGGCAGGGAGCAGCAGUUGCUCCUCAGGGCAUUGGCCCUGUCUCAAGGCAGGAGAGUACAUGGGGCCUCAAGCCUGAAACAGCCUCCUUACUGAGCUGACCUGCCAGGCACUCCUGGUCACAUGACUUAAUAACCCAUAAUAAGGCUGGGUGUAGUUGCAAACCCCUUUAAUUACAGCACUUGGGAGAUUGCAAUAAAUCUGAGGCUGGCCUGUGCUUCCUAGUGCA